UUUUUAAAAAGAUGGAGGAUAAAUCACUUGUGGUUGCUUGAUUGUAGGCAUCUUUGCAGUUUGCAGAAUGUCAAGAUAUAAUACAGCGUCAGGAACAGGAAUCUGUACGCCUAAAACUUCAGCACACUUUGGAUGUAAAAGAGCUUCAGGGCCCUGGAUAUAACUCAGAUUCUUCAAUGAAGCCACGCCUGCUCCAGUCAGCCUCUGUUACCCGUGCCCAUUCUAAUGUACCGUCUUCCCAGUCUACAACAAGCUUCCUCUCACAUCACUCGGCAAAGACCGCGGCACUGAAAGAAGACCCUACGAAGGACCUGAAACAGCUUCUGCAGGAGCUGAGAAGCGUGAUCAAUGAGGAGCCGGCAGUGCAGCUGAGCAAGGCGGAGGACGAGGGGAGAGCGCCGUCACUCGGGGCCUUGUGCGUGGCUGUGUAGGGUGGCACUCAGGAGGGGAAGGCUGUGC
rnacentral:lncRNA from 1 species